rnacentral:tRNA from 10 species
GAAAUGGAAAUCAUUCUCUUCAACUUUAGCCAGCAAGAGAGAAUUCUUACCAAGGAUGUAUGAAUUUAUGCAUACUUACAAUCUUCUGAGGAAGAUCUACAAUGCCAGUUUUCAAUUAAAGUACAGGAAAUGCCCUGUGUAACCCAUGUUCUGUCAGAAAAGUGACAUGGGAAAUGAAUAUCAACAUUUUAUGAGGCUGCUACAUCACCUCAUAUUGAAAAGUGCAAUACCAUAAACCUUGAAUAACACCAUGGAAACCACAGGAGGUGCCACUAGUGAUGCUGGAAGUGCCCCCAAGGAGCAGAGAAAAGUCAUGACAUUACAAGAAAAGGCUUGAUUACUUGAUAUGUACCAUAGAAUGAGGUCUGCAGCUGCCAUUUCUCACCACUUCAGACUAUUCAUCUUGAAAACAGAUAGCACAAAAUUAUGGUAUCAUUAAAUGAAGUACAGUAGUUACAGUAGAUGUAUUUUCCCUUCCUUAUAAUUGUCUUAAUAACAUUUUAUUUUGCCUGGCUCAAUGCAUUGCAAAAAUACAGUAUGUAAUACAUUUAACAUACAAAUUAUGUGUUAAUCAACUGUUUAUGUUAUUGGUAAGACCUCUAGUCAAAAGUAGGCUACUAGUAGUUAAGUUUUUGGGAAGUCAACAGUUAUACAUGUAUUUUUGACUACAUAGGGGUAGACACCUCUAACCCUCUUGCUGUUCAAGGGUCAGUUGUAUGUAUGUUUGGUCCUCUGAAUUAAUGCCUUUGUAACAUACAAAAUGUUUUUAUUUUGUGUCUGGCAUCUUUUAAUCAGUAUCAUGUUUAUGUUGUAUAUGUAGCUGAAGUUUGAUUAUUUUCAUUGUCAUAUAUGGUUUCAUUGAACAAUUAUAUCACAGCCAUUUAUUCCAUUCUUGAUGGCCAUUUGUGUUAUUUCCAGUUCAUAGCAAUUAAAAAUAAGGCUGCUGUGAACAUUUUCAACAUGUCUUUCUGCACCGGUGCACCUGUAUAUGCUAGACAGGUAUGGAAUUUCAAACUCAUAUAAACUAUCUACUUUCAAAUUCAGUAAAUAGUACAAAAUGGUUUUCCAAAGUGCAUACUAAAUUUUAGUUCUAAGAGCAGUGAACAAGAAAUCCUGUUGCUUCAGAUUCUUGUAAAAACUUGGUAUUAUCAAUCUGUAUAGCCAUUCUGUAGGGUGUGUCAUGAUAUACUGUAGUGGUUUUUGUUUGAAUUCCCAAAUGACUAGUGAAGUUGUACACAUUUUCUUUUCUAUUCUUUCCAUUUUUAGCCAUUUUGAGAUUCUGUUGUGUAAAGUGCCUAAGUCUCUUGCCUCUUUUCUUUCGGAUUCUGUCUUACUCUUGUUGGUUUGUAGUUUUUUUCAUACUCUAGAUAUAAGCCUUUUCUAGAUCAUAAGGAUCACAAAAUUUUCCCUCAUUCUGUCUUUUGUCUUAACACUAUGUUUUGAUACAUAAUUAUAAUGUAGUAUGAUUCAUCAAUUUUUUAAUGUUAAUACUUUUGGGAGUCCUGUUCAAAAUAUUUCUCUACUCAAUGUCAUAGAGAUGUUCUUCAAUGUUUUCUAAAAUUUUUCAUGUUUUGCCUUCCAUAUUUAGAGCUACAAUGCACCAGCCAUUGUUACUUUAUAUAUGAUAUGAGUAAAAGUUAAGGUCUUUUUUUGCAUACAAAUAAUUACCCAAUUAGCACUGUCCCAUUUUGAAAUAACAAUCUUCCCUUACUAUAGUGUCAUUCUUGUCACAUAUAAAAUUAUAGAUAUUCAUGAGGCUGAUCUGAUAUAUCUGGUCUGUUGUAUUGAUGUAUUUAUUCAUCCUAGUCAAUACCUACUCUCAAUUUAUUGUUGCUUUAUAUUAAGUCCGUAUCUCUGAUAGGACAAGUCCUAUCAUCUUAUUCCACUUUUUCAAGGGUGUCUUGGUUGAACAUGUCCCUGGCAUUUCCAAAUCCACAGCAGUUUACCAAUGUUGAAAUAAAAAUCUGCUAGUAUUUUUGCUGAGAUUCAUACUUCUUUAUAUUUAAUUUUAUAUUGAGUAUACCAAUAUAUUUGGGGAGAAAUAACAUCUUCUACAAACCACCAUGACACAAGUUUACCUAUGUAACAAACCUACACAUGUACUGCUGAACUUAAAAUAAAAGUUAAAAAAUAAUAAAACAUUAAAAAAAAGCUUUAAACUAAAAGUAAAUAAACAAAUAAGUAAAUUAAUCUCUCCAUUCUUGGACCAGGUGUAUACUUUCAUUUAUUUAGAUCUUAAGUCUGCCUUAACGUUUUCUAAUGCUCUGUGUGGCAUUCUUUCACUGAAUUUAUUCUAAAGUAUUUGAAAUAUUUUGAUGGUAUUGCAUAGCCCAUAUAUACACACAUAUACUUUUCUUUCAACCUUUUUACAUUGUAUCCAACAACUUUGCAAAAUUUGCAUAUUAAUUCUAAAACAGUUAUUUGCACAUUCUUUUUUCUUUUCCACUCUUUUACAUGUAUUUAUUUAUUUAUCUAAUUUUAAAGACAGGGUCUUGCUCUGUCAAGCAAGCUAGAGUGCAAUGGCAUGAUCAUAGCUCACUGUACCCUCCCACUCCUGGCUUCUGUGCCCAAGCAAUCCUCCUGCCUCAACCUGCAGAAUAGCUGAAACUAUGGGCACACGCCACCAUACCACGCUAAUUUUACGUUUUUGUGGUUGUUGUUGCCUUAUUGCAUUUGCUAUGAUUUCAGGCAUGAUGCUUAAUAGAUAUGUUGAUGGGGGACACCUUUCUUUUGGUUUUAAUCUCUGAGAGAAAGUAUUCAAUAGUUCACUUCUACAUGCAGUAUGUUUCUUCUACGGUUUCUGUGCCUACCCAUUAUCAAAUUAAUGAAGUUUCAUCUAUUCAUAAUUUGUUAGAAGUUUAAUUUUUUAAAUCAUGAAUAUGUUUAAUGUUAUAAAAUAUAUUUUCUCUUUCAAUUUAGUAGAUUAAAUUGGUGACAUUUGUUCUUUAUUUUGUUAAAAUGAAUGAUUUAAUUGGUUGAUUAUCAAAGGUUAAAAAAACCUUGCAUAUCCGUAAAUGAACCAAAUUUGAUCAUGAUAUAUCAUAAUUUUUAUCUAUUACUAAAUCUGGCAUGGCUUUAAUUUGCUGAUAUUUUAAAAAUCUAUGCCUAAUGUGAAAUUUUUCUGCAGCACCUUGCUUUUAAUGUCAUUUUGGGUUUAGGUUCAGAUUAUCUUUUUCUCAUAAAAUAUGAAAAGAUCUCUCUGUCGUAUCAUGGGAGUGUUAUUUUUUGUCUUAACCAUUUGGUGGAAACUGAUGAAAACAACUAGAAAAUGUAAUUUUAUUUGUUGAAAAAAUUUAAAACAUAUAUUUAAUAAUUUAAAAAUAAGAUUAGAUAGAUUUAUUAUUUUUUCUUAUUUUGCUGUGUCAGGUUUAUAAGCAGUUUUAUUGGCUAACCUCUCCCUUCUACUUUUGUGUUUCUAUUUGCAUAUACCUUAGCUCACAACUAUGGCUCCUAUGUUUCUCACUUUUUCUUCUGUGAAGUCCAUCAUUUUGUGUCUCUGGGCUUUCUUCUGGAUAUAUUCUUCUGAUUCUCCUCCCAAUUUACUACACUUUCUUCAAUUGUAUCUAAUAUAGAGUUAUAUUGCUCUAUUUCGCUAUUAAUUUUAGUUGUUUUAUUUUUUAGUUCUACAGUUUCCAUUUAAAUUUUAAUAUCUUUUAUUAAUACAGACAUAUGUUAAUAUGUAAUUCUUAUAUAUUCUCUUUUAAGGUUCUAAUUUCAUGCUUUAUAUCCUUGACUAUAUGAAGAAACGUGGUUGUAUAAUUUGUGUCUGAUAACUCCAUUAAAUGGAUUCCAUGUGGAUCCCUUUUUUAUAGUCUUUCUUCCCUCUUUGUUCUUCUCCUUCUUCCUCUUCCUCCUCUUCCUCUUAUUCUUGUCUUCUGCUUCUAACUUUGUUUUUACUUUUUAAAUUUUGCUACCUCAUAUGACUAGUUCUUUUGGACUUCAUGAAAUAAAUUGAAGUCUAAGAUGAUAUUAUAGUCCCACAAAGAAUAUUUAUACUUUCUAGUAGCAAAUGGUCAGGGCCACAUGCAAUUCAUAGCACCUUGAUCUAAUUUUGUUAUUGAGGAGAUCCACAACUAAAAUAUUUUGAAAUGUCAGUCUCUUCAAAAUUUCCUUUUAUCCAGAGACAGGGGUAUGCACCAGUCUCCUCUCUCUUUAAUGCUCCCUGAACACCAACUUUUUUUCCCAAGUCUUGUGAGGUUGUCUAAACUCUGCUCAUAUUCUCAGUCUUUUUGAGAUUUACCUACAGAAAUCAGCAACCCCAAGUAUGAGGCUCACCUCCCUGGAUUUUAUUCAUUUCCCAGGUCUUUACCCCAUGAUUCUUCACUGCUUUGGUAGCUCUGUGCUGACUUCAAGCUGAGUUUUAACGAAUUUUUAUUUCAGUCUCAAGGUUGGUCUAAUUUCCUAGAUUGCCAUUGCCCUAAGGUUGAAUAAUUUUUUUCAAG